rnacentral:rRNA from 1 species
UACAGUGGGGGAUAACGUAGCGAAAGUUACGCUAAUACCGCAUAUUCUGUGAGCAGGAAAGCAGGGGAUCGCAAGACCUUGCGCUGAUUGAGCGGCCGAUAUCAGAUUAGCUAGUUGGUGAGGUAAAAGCUCACCAAGGCGACGAUCUGUAGCGGGUCUGAGAGGAUGAUCCGCCACACUGGGACUGAGACACGGUCCAGACUCCUACGGGAGGCAGCAGUGGGGAAUUUUGGACAAUGGGGGCAACCCUGAUCCAGCCAUGCCGCGUGAGUGAAGAAGGCCUUCGGGUUGUAAAGCUCUUUCAGCCGGGAAGAAAAUGUAUGGGUUAAUACCCUGUGCAGAUGACGGUACCGGAAUAAGAAGCACCGGCUAACUACGUGCCAGCAGCCGCGGUAAUACGUAGGGUGCGAGCGUUAAUCGGAAUUACUGGGCGUAAAGCGUGCGCAGGCGGUUUUGUAAGACAGGCGUGAAAUCCCCGGGCUUAACCUGGGAACUGCGUUUGUGACUGCAAGGCUAGAGUACGGCAGAGGGGGGUGGAAUUCCACGUGUAGCAGUGAAAUGCGUAGAGAUGUGGAGGAACACCAAUGGCGAAGGCAGCCCCCUGGGUCGAUACUGACGCUCAUGCACGAAAGCGUGGGUAGCAAACAGGAUUAGAUACCCUGGUAGUCCACGCCCUAAACGAUGUCAACUAGGUGUUGGGAGGGUAAAACCUUUAGUACCGUAGCUAACGCGAGAAGUUGACCGCCUGGGGAGUACGGCCGCAAGGUUAAAACUCAAAGGAAUUGACGGGGACCCGCACAAGCGGUGGAUGAUGUGGAUUAAUUCGAUGCAACGCGAAAAACCUUACCUACCCUUGACAUGUCAGGAACUUUCCAGAGAUGGAUUGGUGCCCGAAAGGGAACCUGAACACAGGUGCUGCAUGGCUGUCGUCAGCUCGUGUCGUGAGAUGUUGGGUUAAGUCCGCAACGAGCGCAACCCUUGUCGUUAAUUGCCAUCAUUUAGUUGGGCACUUUAACGAGACUGCCGGUGACAAACCGGAGGAUGGUGGAGAUGACGUCAAGUCCUCAUGGCCCUUAUGGGUAGGGCUUCACACGUCAUACAAUGGUCGGUACAAAGGGUCGCCAACCCGCGAGGGGGAGCCAAUCCCAUAAAGCCGAUCGUAGUCCGGAUUGCAGGCUGCAACUCGCCUGCAUGAAGUCGGAAUCGCUAGUAAUCGUGGAUCAGCAUGUCACGGUGAAUACGUUCCCGGGUCUUGUACACACCGCCCGUCACACCAUGGGAGCGGGUUCCGCCAGAAGUAGGUAGCCUAACCGCAAGGGGGGCGCUUACCACGGCGGGGUUCGUGACUGGGGUGAAGUC